rnacentral:rRNA from 1 species
UACGUAGGGUGCAAGCGUUGUCCGGAAUUAUUGGGCGUAAAGAGCUCGUAGGCGGUUUGUUGCGUCGGCUGUGAAAUCCCGAGGCUCAACCUCGGGUCUGCAGUCGAUACGAGCAAACUAGAGUGUUGCAGGGGGAGACUGGAGUUCCUGGUGUAGCGGUGAAAUGCGCAGAUAUCAGGAGGAACACCGGUGGCGAAGGCGGGUCUCUGGGCAACAACUGACGCUGGAGGAGCGAAAGCGUGGGGAGCGAACAGG